rnacentral:rRNA from 1 species
UACGUAGGGUGCAAGCGUUAAUCGGAAUUACUGGGCGUAAAGCGUGCGCAGGCGGUUGUGCAAGACCGAUGUGAAAGCCCCGGGCUUAACCUGGGAAUGGCAUGGGAAACUGGCGGGCUGGAGUGUGGCAGAGGGGGUGGAAUUCCGCGUGUAGCAGUGAAAUGCGUAGAGAUGCGGAGGAACACCGAUGGCGAAGGCAGCCCCCUGGGCUAACACUGACGCUCAGGCACGAAAGCGUGGGGAGCAAACAGG